CCUACGGGUGGCAGCAGUCGAGAAUCAUUCACAAUGGGGGAAACCCUGAUGGUGCGACGCCGCGUGGGGGAAUGAAGGUCUUCGGAUUGUAAACCCCUGUCAUGUGGGAGCAAAUUAAAAAGAUAGUACCACAAGAGGAAGAGACGGCUAACUCUGUGCCAGCAGCCGCGUUAAUACAGAGGUCUCAAGCGUUGUUAGGAAUCACUGGGCGUAAAGGGUGCGUAGGCUGUUUCGUAAGUCGUGUGUGAAAGGCGCGGGCUCAACCCGCGGACGGCACAUGAUACUGCGAGACUAGAGUAAUGGAGGGGGAACCGGAAUGCUCGGUGUAGCAGUGAAAUGCGUAGAUAUCGAGAGGAACACUCGUGGCGAAGGAGGGUUCCUGGACAUUAACUGACGCUGAGGCACGAAGGCCAGGGGAGCGAAAGGGAUUAGAUACCCUGGUAGUC
rnacentral:rRNA from 1 species